UUACGUUGUUAUCCCUAAGGUAAUUUAAUCUUAUAAUCAAAAUAAAUGGAUCAAAAAUAUAUACAUAAAUAUAUAAAAACAAAGAGGAGUUAAAUAAUAUUCCUCCCAUCACCCCAACAAAACAAUUCACUCCCACUCAAUGUAAAUAAACACAAACAACGAAUAAAUAGGAAAAUUGUCAAACUCUAUAGGGUCUUCUCGUCCCAUAAAAACAUUUAAGAAUUUUAACUCAAAAACCAAAUUCAAUAAACCAAUACCUCUAAGACAGCUUAUGUCUCGUCAAGCCAUUCAUACCAGAUCACAAUUAAAGAACUAAUGAUUAUGCUACCUUUGCACGGUCAAAAUACCGCGGCCCUUCAACUCUAAGUCAGUGGGCAGGCCAUACUUCAAAAACUAACAAGAAAAGAUGUUUUUGAUAAACAGGCG
rnacentral:rRNA from 1 species